rnacentral:rRNA from 1 species
GAGGCCGAAAGGCGUAGUCGAUGGGAAACGGGUUAAUAUUCCCGUACUUGGUGUUACUGCGAAGGGGGGACGGAGAAGGCUAUGUUGGCCGGGCGACGGUUGUCCCGGUUUAAGCGUGUAGGUGUGUGUUCCAGGUAAAUCCGGUUCACUUUAACACUGAGGCGUGAUGACGAGGCACUACGGUGCUGAAGCAACAAAUGCCCUGCUUCCAGGAAAAGCCUCUAAGCAUCAGGUAACAUCAAAUCGUACCCCAAACCGACACAGGUGGUCAGGUAGAGAAUACCAAGGCGCUUGAGAGAACUCGGGUGAAGGAACUAGGCAAAAUGGUGCCGUAACUUCGGGAGAAGGCACGCUGACACGUAGGUGAAGUGAUUUACUCAUGGAGCUGAAGUCAGUCGAAGAUACCAGCUGGCUGCAACUGUUUAUUAAAAACACAGCACUGUGCAAACACGAAAGUGGACGUAUACGGUGUGACGCCUGCCCGGUGCCGGAAGGUUAAUUGAUGGGGUCAGCGCAAGCGAAGCUCCUGAUCGAAGCCCCGGUAAACGGCGGCCGUAACUAUAACGGUCCUAAGGUAGCGAAAUUCCUUGUCGGGUAAGUUCCGACCUGCACGAAUGGCGUAAUGAUGGCCAGGCUGUCUCCACCCGAGACUCAGUGAAAUUGAACUCGCUGUGAAGAUGCAGUGUACCCGCGGCAAGACGGAAAGACCCCGUGAACCUUUACUAUAGCUUGACACUGAACAUUGAGCCUUGAUGUGUAGGAUAGGUGGGAGGCUUUGAAGUGUGGACGCCAGUCUGCAUGGAGCCGACCUUGAAAUACCACCCUUUAAUGUUUGAUGUUCUAACGUGGACCCGUAAUCCGGGUUGCGGACAGUGUCUGGUGGGUAGUUUGACUGGGGCGGUCUCCUCCUAAAGAGUAACGGAGGAGCACGAAGGUUGGCUAAUCCUGGUCGGACAUCAGGAGGUUAGUGCAAUGGCAUAAGCCAGCUUGACUGCGAGCGUGACGGCGCGAGCAGGUGCGAAAGCAGGUCAUAGUGAUCCGGUGGUUCUGAAUGGAAGGGCCAUCGCUCAACGGAUAAAAGGUACUCCGGGGAUAACAGGCUGAUACCGCCCAAGAGUUCAUAUCGACGGCGGUGUUUGGCACCUCGAUGUCGGCUCAUCACAUCCUGGGGCUGAAGUAGGUCCCAAGGGUAUGGCUGUUCGCCAUUUAAAGUGGUACGCGAGCUGGGUUUAGAACGUCGUGAGACAGUUCGGUCCCUAUCUGCCGUGGGCGCUGGAGAACUGAGGGGGGCUGCUCCUAGUACGAGAGGACCGGAGUGGACGCAUCACUGGUGUUCGGGUUGUCAUGCCAAUGGCACUGCCCGGUAGCUAAAUGCGGAAGAGAUAAGUGCUGAAAGCAUCUAAGCACGAAACUUGCCCCGA